CAUAGAUUGUGCUUGUCUUACACUAAGGUUUGGCAUAUUCAGUUUAUUUUUAGACUCAUGAAUUUUCUACUACUGUGAAGCUUGUGCUUGUUUUAUGCACCCGAUCAGAUUUGUUGUGGCUAUCUCCUUUAGUGCAUUGGUUAUUCAGUUUGGUUGUUUGGCAUGCAAUAUCGUUUCAAUAUGGUGCUCUGUUAUUAGCUUAUCACUGAGAACAUAUUUUUUGAAGAUAAAUUUGGAUCUCAUGCCUUGGUUACAUUGUUACUGGUUGAACUUUAUUUGAAUGUUCAUAAGAAGCUUGAUAAAGGUCACUGCUGGUGAAAAGUGUUAAUUGGUAAUACUUGUAGUAAAUUGGUCAUGCUUGGUUUCAUUGAAGACUGAUAAACUGAUGAGUUGUCAUUGCACUGUGCUGUCACUAGUUCUUUUAUUUCUUUGCACUCAUUCCUUGUGUGAAGGUUGAAGAAUAAAUUUGGGUAGUCCUUUUGGUUGUUAUGGUUGCUACAUGAAGGAGUUGUUACUGUUGCAAUUGGUUGGAAGUUACUACUUUUCAGUCUUCCUUGUAUGAAGAUUAAUGUGCACAUUUGGUUUCUUGCUUUAUUUGCUAUUGAAGAUAUAGCUCUUGAUGGUUUCAGAUUUGUUUUGAAGAGCCUCGGUUUUUCUAUGAUUGUGAAGAUUGAAGAUUGGUUUUGAACUCUUUGAUCUACUCUUUGUUGCAUUUAUGCUAUCUCUUGAGGAGGUUGUAUUUGCUUGCUUUGUCAAGUGGUUAGUUGGUUUUUUGAUGUGCUAUCUCAUCUUGAGCACAACAUUGGUAUUGAUGCUUUACUCUAUAGCUUAGCCAUCAACCAUACUACUUGAUCUUUCUCCUUGAUUUGUUGGUCCUUUGAUGUGCUAAUUACCUUUAGCACAACUUGAGUAUUGAUGCUUUACUUUAUAGCCAUCGGACCUCUUCUGACAUUCUCUUUUUUGCUUCUGUCAUGAGUGUUUGGAACUUUUGAUGGUUAAGCUUUGUGCCCUUUGUUGGCUAUGUUGAUCUUAGCUUCUGUUAAGUGGUUAAGCCUUGAGUUAUGGCUUCUGCUUAAUGGUUAAGCAUUGAUUUGUUGCUUCCUCCGAGUAGUCCUUGAGUUGUGGUUUCUACUUGAUGGUUAAGCUUUUGCCCUUAGUUGGCUUUGAUGAGUUGUGUUUCUUCCUUAUGGUGGUUAAACACUACUAGUUGUUAUUGAGUUGUUGUUUUAGCCGAUGUAUUCCGGCAAAUCUCAUUGUAUUUUCUUUUGAUUUGAUGUACUUUUGUAUUGCUUAUCCCAAGCUAGAAGUGUUGUGAACACCUUCUAGCUUGCGGGAGGGUGUUAAAGAUAUAGNNNNN
rnacentral:lncRNA from 1 species